GGGUUUGAAACUGGCUCAGAUUGAACGCUGGCGGUAUGCUUAACACAUGCAAGUCGAACGGUAACAGCAAGAGCUUGCUCUUGGCUGACGAGUGGCGGACGGGUGAGUAACGCGUAGGAAUCUGCCUAGUAGUGGGGGACAACUCGGAGAAAUCCGAGCUAAUACCGCAUACGCCCUACGGGGGAAAGCAGGGGAUCUUCGGACCUUGCGCUAUUAGAUGAGCCUGCGUUGGAUUAGCUAGUUGGUAAGGUAAUGGCUUACCAAGGCGACGAUCCAUAGCUGGUCUGAGAGGACGAUCAGCCACACUGGGACUGAGACACGGCCCAGACUCCUACGGGAGGCAGCAGUGGGGAAUAUUGCACAAUGGGCGAAAGCCUGAUGCAGCGACGCCGCGUGUGGGAAGAAGGCUUUAGGGUUGUAAACCACUUUCAAUUGGGAAGAAGAGAUGAGCGUUAAUAACGCUCUGAUUUGACGGUAGCCGUAGAAGAAGCCCCGGCUAACUUCGUGUCAGCAGCCGCGGUAAUACGAAAGGUGCAAGCGUUGUUCGGAUUUACUGGGCGUAAAGAGAGUGUAGGUGGUUUAUUAAGUCGGAUGUGAAAUCCCGGGGCUCAACCUCGGAACUGCAUUCGAUACUGGUAGGCUAGAGUUCGGGAGGGGGAUGCGGAAUUCCGUGUGUAGCAGUGAAAUGCGUAGAUAUACGGAGGAACACCUGAGGCGAAGGCGGCAUCCUGGACCGAUACUGACACUGAGACUCGAAAGCGUGGGUAGCAAACAGGAUUAGAUACCCUGGUAGUCCACGCCCUAAACGAUGUCAACUAGCCGUAGCGGGUAUCGACCCCUGCUGUGGCGAAGCUAAUGCACUAAGUUGACCGCCUGGGGAGUACGGUCGCAAGAUUAAAACUCAAAUGAAUUGACGGGGGCCCGCACAAGCGGUGGAGCAUGUGGUUUAAUUCGACGCAAUGCGAAGAACCUUACCUGGUCUUGACAUCCUAAGAAUACCCUAGAGAUAGUUUGGUGCCUUCGGGAGCUUAGAGACAGGUGCUGCAUGGCUGUCGUCAGCUCGUGUCGUGAGAUGUUGGGUUAAGUCCCGCAACGAGCGCAACCCUUGUCGUUAGUUGCCAUCAUUAAGUUGGGCACUCUAGCGAGACUGCCGGUGAUAAACCGGAGGAAGGUGGGGAUGACGUCAAGUCCUCAUGGCCCUUAUGACCAGGGCUACACACGUGCUACAAUGGCCGGUACAGAGUGUCGCGAUACCGCAAGGUGGAGCCAAUCCCAAAAAGCCGGUCUCAGUUCGGAUUGGAGUCUGCAACUCGACUCCAUGAAGCUGGAAUCGCUAGUAAUCGCGUAUCAGCAUGACGCGGUGAAUACGUUCCCGGGCCUUGUACACACCGCCCGU
rnacentral:rRNA from 1 species